UCGGGAAUUUUGCUCAAUGGGCGAAAGCCUGAAGCAGCAACGCCGCGUGAGGGAUGAAGGCCUUCGGGUCGUAAACCUCUUUUGCCGAGGACGAUGAUGACGGUACUCGGUGAAUAAGCCACGGCUAACUACGUGCCAGCAGCCGCGGUAAUACGUAGGUGGCAAGCGUUGUCCGGAUUUACUGGGCGUAAAGAGCGCGCAGGCGGUCGUAUAAGUCGAAUGUGAAAGCCCCCGGCUCAACUGGGGAGGGUCAUUCGAUACUGUUCGACUCGAAGGCAGGAGAGGGAAGUGGAAUUCCGGGUGUAGGGGUGAAAUGCGUAGAUAUCCGGAGGAACACCAGUGGCGAAGGCGACUUUCUGGCCUGUUCUUGACGCUGAGGCGCGAAAGCUAGGGGAGCAAACG
rnacentral:rRNA from 1 species